GAUGAACGCUGGCGGCGUGCUUAACACAUGCAAGUCGAACGGUGAAGGCGGAGCUUGCUCUGCUGGAUCAGUGGCGAACGGGUGAGUAACACGUGAGCAAUCUGCCCCUGACUCUGGGAUAAGCGCUGGAAACGGCGUCUAAUACUGGAUACGAGCUGCGAAGGCAUCUUCAGCAGCUGGAAAGAACUUCGGUCAGGGAUGAGCUCGCGGCCUAUCAGCUUGUUGGUGAGGUAACGGCUCACCAAGGCGUCGACGGGUAGCCGGCCUGAGAGGGUGACCGGCCACAGUGGGACUGGGGAACGGCCCAGACGCAUACGGGAGGCAGGAGUGGGGAAUAUUGCACAAUGGGCGAAAGCCUGAUGCAGCAACGCCGCGUGAGGGACGACGGCCUUCGGGUUGUAAGCCUCUUUUAGCAGGAAAGAAGCGAAAGUGACGGUACCUGCAGAAAAAGCGCCGGCUAACUACGU
rnacentral:rRNA from 1 species